AUUCUACCCUUUUUAGCCCAGCUCAAUUCCAGCAGCAAUACGCGUACAUCGACGUUCUUCUUCCUCCUUUCAAUUCCGUUGAGAAUUGGUACGAAAAUGGAGCCAGCACAAGAGUUUCAAUUUCAAAUCCUUAACCGUUUUCCUUUUCAAUUCCAUUCUCUUCCUAUAUAUACUUUCCUUCCUUCAGCGUUCUGGAGAGGUUUUUUGGACACUACCUUACAGAGGGAGUUUCCAUCAAAAGAAAGAGGUUGGAGAGACAAGAAACAGGAACAAAAAUUUACAAGAAAAUUAUACAUGCAACAGAGAAGAAAAUUAAAGAAAAUAGUAUUCCAUUAGCUAGGUGGUUUGAGUCUUUUGUUGUUGGAUUCGAGCUCUCGUCGGAAUUCCUCUUGUGGUGGAGGAAUAGCUCGCUUCAUCUCGUCCACAAAAGUAGACGCCAGAAGCUGAUAUGACGGGUGAACUAGAGAUGAGGGAAGGCGAAUCAUCUUCUUCCUGCCUCCUAUGAAAUUACAUCAAGAAAAAGCUUUCCUAUGUGGCUCUUGACUAUGAACAGGAGAUUGAAACUGGCAAAAGCAGCUCCUCCACUGAAAAGAACUAUGAAUUGCCUGAAGAACAAGUUAUUACCAUUGGUGCUGAGAGGUUCUACUGCCUAGAGGCCCUCUUCCAGCCAUCUAUGAUUGGUAUGGAAGUUGCAGGUAUCCAUGAGACUACCUACAACUCCAUUCAUUAUCCUUGUGAAAUAGCUAAAAAAAAAAGGAACGUAGAGAAGAAUAUCCAUAUAAUAAAGCUUUCCCAACUGGUGAACGAUCCUUCCCGUGCGGUGAUCAUGGAUAAGACAGUCAGAAGAAGAAAAGAUUACACGAAGAUGGUUAGCUGCAACGUGACUGAGGAUGAAAAUGGAAUCUAUCAUGAAGAAUUCGGGAUGAAGACAUAGACACACAGUGUGAGAGCUCCCAGACAACCACACAGGGCAAUACUUGAUAUAGAGGCUUCAGAUAUACAUUUGCAGGGUGUUUAUCGUAUGAGCAAGGAAAUCACUGUCUUCACUCCUAGCAGCAUGAAGACUAAGGUUGUUUCUCCACUAGAGAGGCGAGUACGACAACUCUGGUCCAUCCAUUGUCCACAGGAAGUGUUUUUAAGGUGUUUUGAACUAUAAAUGGCUUUCUAAACCAAUUCGAAUGAUCAAGAAAUGGCACCUGAAAUUGAGGAGGAAGAUUAUUUUUGAUGAGAGCAGGUUCCUACCGAUUUGCACGAAAAAGAAAUGGAGAGUUGAUUUAGGAUAUUUGAAGAAAGCAAAUAAAUUUGAGGCAAAAAGAGGUCAAGAGCUGAAAAUACAAUUUUUGGCAGGGAAAGUAUCCUUCGCGAAUGGGCUUGAAUAAACUAAGUGAACUGUAUCUGACUGUUUGAAUGUCUUCAUUUAGGGGAAGAAAUUUGCUAAACCUGCACUCAGAUCAUGCAUAUGCAUUGAGGAGUUUGAAUAAAAGUUGAAUAAAUUCGACAUUAAGAGGAAUGAACAAGAACUUACUGCCAAAAAUGCCCAAAGCCAUCAACAAAAAGUGGAGAACUUGGAGGGCAUCAUGGUUACUGAAAAAGAAGAAGAGGAAAUUGAUGAAUCUGAAAUUACUUAAGUAACUUCGUUUUCUUAGUCAUGCAACAAAUUUUGAAGUCACGAAUCCAUCAAUGGAAGUGCAAACAGAAUGUUCACAUUCGGAACCAGGAUGUGCUGAGUCGGACCAGAGGUUCCUUGCAAUAUUCAACAUCCUGUGUGGAGGAGCAUGAUGUGUUCGAUCUUGUGUAUUCUUUAGUGAAGGAGUUUGCUUGCCUUAUUCCUGGCUGUAAGCUUAAUCUUGUGGAGUCACUUAGGCGUUGUGUUAAGAGUUAGCAUCUAAGAUAAGAUUCAUUGGAGUUUACCGGAAUAAAUGAGGGAGGACUUCUAGGGAACGACUUGCUCUAUGGAUAUGUUGGUAUCUCAUAUUGAGAAGUAGUUUAUUUGCUAUUGGCUAUCAACAACUCUCAUACAAAUAUGCAACUAACCACUAAUUCCAGCUUGAUAUGCAACACAGAAGAAAAUUAAAGAAAAUAGUAUUCCUAUGGCUAGGAGGUUUGAGUCUUUUGUUGCUGGAUUUGAGCUCUUGUCAGAAUUCCAGUUGUGGUGGAGGAAUAGUUCGAUUCAACUCGACGUCCCAGUUUCUCUGUGGUCCACAAAAGGUGUUUUGAACUAUAAAUGGCUUUCUAAACCAAUUCGGAUGAUCAAGAAAUGGCACCGAAAAUUGAGAAGGAUGAUUAUUUUUUAUGAGAGCUGGUUCCUACCGGUAAAAUGUCCCCGAAAAUAUGAUGAGAACUUGACCCGAAAUUAACACGAAAAAGAAAUGGAGAGUUGAUUUAGGAUAUUUGAAGAAAGUAAAUAAACUUGAGGCUAAAAGAGGUCAAGAGCUGAAAAUACAAUUUUUGGUAAGGAAAGUAUCCUUCGCGAACGGGUUUGAAUAAACUAAGUGAACUGUAUCAGCCUGUUUGGAUGGCUUCAUUUAGGGGAAGAAGUUUGCUAAACCUGCACUCAAAUCAUGCAUUGAGGAGAAAAGUUGAAUAAAUUCGACAUUGAGAGGAAGGAACAAGAACUUACCGCCAAAAUGCCCAAAGCCAUCAACAAAAAGUGGAGAACUUGGAGAGCAUCACGGUGACUGAAAAAAGAAGAAGAGGAAAUCGAUGAAUAUGAAAUUACUUAAGUAACUUCGUUUUCUUAGUCAAGCAACACAUUUUAAAGUCACGAAUCCAUCAAUGGAAGUGCAAACAUAAUGUUCACAUUCGGAACCAGGAUGUGCUGAGUCCGACUAGAGGUUCCUUGCAACAUCCUACAUCCUGUUUUGAGGAGCAGGAUAUGUUCGAUCUUGUGUAUUCUUUAGUGAAGGAGUUUGCUUGCCUUAUUCCUGGCUGUAAGGUUAUUCUUGUGGAGUCACUUAGGCGUCGUGUUAAGAGUUAGCAUCUAAGGUAAGUUUUCUCCCCUCUUUUCUACUCAAUCUUGGGUAAGUAUAUUUGAAAUGGUCUCGUUGACAUGUGUUAAUCAGUGCUUGAAUUGUUGGGCUGUUUCUGUUUGUGUGGGGAUUAAUUAAGUUGAUGGCUAGAUAGUUCAUGAGUUUUAGUUGAGAUUGGGGGAACAACUUGAGUGAAAAUUGUUCCUAAAAAAGCUGCCCCCAACAUGUUUGAUGAAAUGCCCCAACCAGAUUUUGAAUUCAGGAGAAGAUGACUCUGUGAACGCACCAAAUAGUUAGCAAAAGACUAGCUUCAAUUUAUUGAUUUUAUUGGUGAGGAGAUUGUUGUCGGGGAUGUCAUAUAUGUCGGUUCUGACCGGCUUCUGUCGCAGGUUGUUUCAAAAGCCGGGAUUGGGUUAGGUUGGUAUCUCUUUAAUUGAUGUAACUUUGUUUCAAUUAGCUUACUAGAAUCUUGAUUGUCAUCUUAUUUGUACAGGCGAGUAGAUAGCUAUUACGGUUUUAGUUGGUUUUAAGUGCGAGAUUUUUAUUUAAUUUGUUAAAAUCAUGAGUUUGAGGUUAAUUUUGUUCCAUAUGUCUUCAUUCUUGCUACUUUGUUUUUCUUCUCUUUUAUAAGGGCUUCUUCAUUUGCAUGUCUUUCCUUUUUAUCUUACCAGGCCAAAUAUGUGACUUUCUGUAAGUUUACCUUUUUUUAAUAGGAUGUUGCUACUGUUCAACUCUGUUUGUACUUAAAUAGAAAUUAUAGAAUUAUCUCAUCGACUAUAAACCAUUAACAUGGAAGUUUUUGAUUAUUCUUCAAAUGCACAUAGGAUUCAUUGGAAUUUACUGGGAUAAAUGAGCGAGGACUUCUAGGGAAUGACUUGCUCUAUGUAUAUUUUGGUAUCUCAUACUGAGAAAUAGUUUAUUAGCUUUUGGCUAUCAACAACUCUCAUGCAAAUAUGCAACUAACCACUAAUUCCAGCUUGACAUGUGAGGAGAUAGUUGCCGGGGAUGUCAUAUAUGGCGGUUCUGACUGGCUGCUAUCACAAGUUGUUCCAAAAGCUGGGAUUGGGUGAAGUUGGUUUAUUAGCUUUUGGCUAUCCACAACUCUCAUGCAAAUAUGCAACUAACCACUAAUUCCAGCUUGACAUCAUUUUGGAGAGGUUUUUGGCACACUAAUUUACUACCCAAAACAGAGGGGAUUCCCAUCCAAAGAAAGUGGUUGGAGAGACAAGAUACAGGAACAUAAAUUUACAAAAAAAUAAACAGGCAACACAGAAGAAAAUAGUAGUCCUAUGGCUAGGAGGUUUGAGUCUUUUGUUGCUGGAUUCGAGCUUUUGUCAGAAAUCCACUUGUGGUGGAGGAAUAGCUCGAUUCAACUCAUCAUCCCAGCUUCGCUGUGGUCCACAAAAGGGGAAGAAGUUUGCUAAACCUGAACUCAAAUCAUGCAUUGAGGAGUUUGAAGAAAAGUUGAAUAAAUUCGACAUUGAGAGGAAGGAACAAGAACUUACAGCCAGAAAACUCUCAAAGCCAUCAACAGAAAGUGGAGAACUUGGAGAGCAUCACGGUGACUAAAAAAGAAGAAGAGGAAAUCGAUGAAUCUGAAAUUACUCAAGAUAAAGCUUUUGGCUAUCAACAAUUCUCAUGCAAAUAUGCAACUAACCACUAAUUCCAGCUUGAUAUGUCUCCAGCAUAUCCUUAAUGGCUGUUCUGACCGGCUGUUGUCACAAAUUGUUCCAAAAGUCGGGAUUGGGUUAAGUUGGUGUUUUGAACUAUAAAUGGAUUUCUAAACCAAUUCGAAUGAUCAAGAAAUGGCAUCGUAAAUUGAGGAGGAUGAUUAUUUUUUAUGAGAGUUGGUUCCUACCGGUAAAAUGUGCCAAAAAAUAUGAUGAGUACUUGGCCCGAAGUGAGAACACGGUUUCAUUUUCAAUUGGGAAUGCCUUCAUUUUCUUCAUUUUGUUGAUUAUUUCGGCAUACUACGAUUGUGCCCUUGACGGACGUACUUUUUUUUCUUUGUUAUGGAUUGGUGUGCCCUUGUCGAACUUUGAUAUCGUGGAUACUUCUGUUGAUAUUGUGUUAGAUUGGUCUGUUUUAGUUUGUGAUUUGUAGUUUGUAGCUUCUUUAUUUUUGGUUUGUUAAUAAGAUUUGCAUUGACGAUGCCUUAUGAUGGAUAGAGAGCAACGACUUUCUUCAGGGUAAAUUGUCGAUUGCUUGUGAGUGUUUGAUUGGCGUUGAUUGUAGCGAAGUCUGAAUAGCCGUUCCCGAAUAGAUUGAGGUUGCUUGAUGAUGGAUUAGUUGACAACUCUCUUAAGGGAAUAAUCGUCGUAUUUUUGGGAAGGUUUUAACUUGGUUGGUACUACGAGCAUAGUCAUGCAUGUGAAUAGUGUUGAGCAUAGCUCUCCAUUUUUAAAAGGUUGAGCAUGUUGUGAAUGAUUUUGUGACAACUCUUACAACUCUUUUUAUGACUUUUGAUUUGUUAGCGGUUAAAAUGUUCAAUGCUACUUGAAUUCGAAAUAAGAUUUUGAACCAUCUUAUUUCUCUCUUUUUUUAUUUGUUUUGUUCCCCUGUUAAAGGUCUCCAGCAUAUCCUUAAUGCUGAGAAAUAUAACAUUAACAGUUUCAAAAAAAAAAUUGAACAAUGCUAAAUAUUUUUAAGUCCUAAAUUACCCACAUAAACACCCAGCGAACCCAACGACCUCUUAGUCUAGCUGUGUCGUCCUCGUAGAAGAUCGUUUCGAGAAUCAUCCUAGUGUCCAAAUCAUAUGGCCCUUCUUUCAAUUAUGUUGAGAAUUAGUACGAAAUAGAGCCAGCACAAGAGUUUGAAUUUCGAAUUUGAAAUACUUCAAAACCUUAUCCGUUUUCCCCCAAUCUUUUCAAUUCCAUUCUUUUCCUAUAUAUACUUCCCUUCCUUCAUCGUUUUGGAGAGGUUUUUUGGACACUAAUUUACUACCCAAAACAGAGCGAAUUUCCAUUGAAAGAAAGAGGUUGGUUAGAGAAGAAACAGGAACUGAAAUUUAUAAAAAAAAGAUACAGACAACAGAAGAAAUUUAAAGAAAAUAGUGUUCCUAUAGCUAGGAGAUUUGAGUCUUUUGUUGCUGAAUUAGAGUUCUUGUCAGAAUUGCUCUUGUGGUGGAGUAUCAUUGCCUUAUUCCUCGCUAUAAGCUCAAUCUUGUGGAAUCACUUAGGCGUCAUGUUAAGAGUUGCAUCUAAGGUAAGUUUUCUCCCCUCCUUUCAACUCAAUCUUGGGUAAGUAUUUUUGAAAUGGUCUCGUUGAUAUGUGUUAAUCACUGCUUAAAUUGUUGGACUCUAUUUGUUUGUGUGCGGAUUAAUUAAGUUGAGGGAUAUAUAGUUCAUGAGUUUUGGUAGAGAUUGGGGGCACAACUUGUGUGAAAAUUGUGCCUAAAACGGCUGUCCCCAACAUGUUUGUUGAAAUGCCCCAACCGUAUUUUGAAUUCAGGAGAAGAUGACUCCGCGAACGUUCCCUCUUGGCCGCGAACUCGGAGGAAUCUGAUCCCAGAUUCUCCGCGAAUGCGCCCAAUAGUUUGCAAAUGAGUUGAUUUUAGCAAAAGAUAGUUAGCAAAAGAAUAGCUUCAAUUUGUUGAUUGUAUAGGUGAGGAGAUAGUUGUCGGGGAUGUCAUAUAUGGCGGUUCUGACCGGCUGUUGUCACAAGUUGUUCCAAAAGUCGGGAUUGGGUUAAGUUGGAUUCAUUGGAGUUUACCGGGAUAAAUGAGGGAGGACUUCUAGGGAAGACUUGCUCUAUGGAUAUUUUGGUAUCUCAUACUGAGAAAUAGUAAGAAAUGAACUCUAACAUAUAUCAUAAUGUAUUCUCCUGAUUGUUGAACUCCUGGCACAAUUUGAUGUAUCUUCAUAGUAAUCCUUGAUUUCUGUAGGUUUAUUUUCUUUUGGCUAUCAACAAUUCUCGUACAAAUAUGCAACUAACCACUAAUUCCAGCUUGACAUCAUUUUGAAGAGGUUUUUGGCACACUAAUUUACUACCCAAAACAGAGGGGAUUCCCAUCCAAAGAAAGAGGUUGGAGAGACAAGAAACAUGAACAGAUAUUUACAAAAAAAUAUACAGGCAAUAUAAAUGAAAAUUA